rnacentral:rRNA from 1 species
UAAGAGUUUGAUCCUGGCUCAGGACGAACGCUGGCGGCGUGCUUAACACAUGCAAGUCGAGCGGUAAGGCUCCUUCGGGAGUACACGAGCGGCGAACGGGUGAGUAACACGUGAGCAAUCUGCCCUUCACACGGGGAUAACUCCGGGAAACCGGUGCUAAUACCCGAUACGACCACCUCAGGCAUCUGAUGGUGGUGGAAAGUUCCGGCGGUGAAGGAUGAGCUCGCGGCCUAUCAGCUUGUUGGUGGGGUAACGGCCCACCAAGGCAACGACGGGUAGCCGGCCUGAGAGGGUGACCGGCCACACUGGGACUGAGACACGGCCCAGACUCCUACGGGAGGCAGCAGUGGGGAAUAUUGGACAAUGGGCGAAAGCCUGAUCCAGCCAUGCCGCGUGAGUGAUGACGGCCUUAGGGUUGUAAAGCUCUUUCGCUAGGGACGAUAAUGACGGUACCUAGAUAAGAAGCCCCGGCUAACUUCGUGCCAGCAGCCGCGGUAAU